rnacentral:rRNA from 1 species
CCUACGGGUGGCAGCAGUGAGGAAUAUUGCUCAAUGGGCGCGAGCCUGAACCAGCCAAGUCGCGUGAAGGAUGACUGCCCUACGAUUUGUAAACUUCUUUUAUAAAGUAACAAAGUGAGGCUCGUGUGCCUUUUUGUAUGUACUUUAUGAAUAAGGAUCGGCUAACUCCGUGCCAGCAGCCGCGGUAAUACGGUGGAUCCGAUCGUUAUCCGGAUUUAUUGGGUUUAAAGGGAGCGUAGAUGGGUUGUUAAGUCAGUUGUGAAAGUUUGCGGCUCAACCGUAAAAUUGCAAUUGAUACUGGCAGCCUUGAGUACAGUUGAGGUAGGCGGAAUUCGUGGUGUAGCGGUGAAAUGCUUAGAUAUCACGAAGAACUCCGAUUGCGAAGGCAGCUUACUAAACUGCCACUGACAUUGAUGCGCGAAAGUGUGGGUAGCAAACAGGAUUAGAUACCCUUGUAGUC